GACGAACGCUGGCGGCGUGCCUAAUACAUGCAGGUCGAGCGAAGUUUUUCUGGUGCUUGCACUAGAAAAACUUAGCGGCGAACGGGUGAGUAACACGUAAAGAACCUGCCUCAUAGACUGGGACAACUAUUGGAAACGAUAGCUAAUACCGGAUAACAGUAUUUCUCGCAUGAGAGAUAUUUAAAAGUUGGUUAUGCUAACACUAUGAGAUGGCUUUGCGGUGCAUUAGCUAGUUGGUGGGGUAAAGGCCCACCAAGGCGACGAUGCAUAGCCGACCUGAGAGGGUGAUCGGCCACACUGGGACUGAGACACGGCCCAGACUCCUACGGGAGGCAGCAGUAGGGAAUCUUCCGCAAUGGGCGAAAGCCUGACGGAGCAACGCCGCGUGAGUGAAGAAGGAUUUCGGUUCGUAAAGCUCUGUUGUUAGGGAAGAAUGGAUAUGUAGUAACUAUACAUGUAAGAGACGGUACCUAACCAGAAAGCCACGGCUAACUACGUG
rnacentral:rRNA from 1 species